rnacentral:rRNA from 1 species
UGAAUACGAGACGCUAAGGCGUCGAAGUAGUGUAUGUCAUACUUCCAAGAAAAGCUUGCACUGUCAUAGAUAAAAAACGCCUGUACCAUAACCGACACAGGUGGGUAGGUAGAGUAUACUAAGGGGCGCGAGAUAACUCUCUCUAAGGAACUCGGCAAAAUAACUCCGUAACUUCGGGAGAAGGAGUGCCUCAUUCGUAAGGUUGCAAUAACAAGAUCCAAGCAACUGUUUAUCAAAAACACAGGUCUCCGCUAAGUCGUAAGACGAUGUAUGGGGGCUGACGCCUGCCCAGUGCCAGAAGGUUAAAGAAGUUGGUUAGCAAUUGCGAAGCUGAUAACUGAAGCCCUGGUGAACGGCGGCCGUAACUAUAACGGUCCUAAGGUAGCGAAAUUCCUUGUCGGGUAAGUUCCGACCCGCACGAAAGGCGUAAUGAUUUGGAUACUGUCUCGGAGAGGGCUCGGUGAAAUAGACUUGUCUGUGAAGAUGCGGACUACCUGCACCAGGACAGAAAGACCCUAUGAAGCUUUACUGUAACUUGAAAUUGAAAUUGGACUUUAUUCGCGCAGUAUAGGUGGGAGGCGUUGAUUAUAAUCUUGUGGGAUUAUUGGAGCCAUCAGUGAGAUACCACUCUUGUAAUGUUAGAUUUCUAACUUUGAAUCAUUAUCUGGUCAAAGAACAGUUUCAGGCGGGCGGUUUGACUGGGGCGGUCGCCUCCUAAACGGUAACGGAGGCGUACAAAGGUUUCCUCUGAACGGUUAGAAAUCGUAUCUAGAGUGUAAAGGCAUAAGGAAGCUUGACUGUGAGACCUACAAGUCGAGCAGGGACGAAAGUCGGUCUUAGUGAUCUGACGGUACUGAGUGGAAAGGCCGUCACUCAACGGAUAAAAGUUACUCUAGGAUAACAGGCUGAUCUCCCCCAAGAGUUCACAUCGACGGGGAGGUUUGGCACCUCGAUGUCGGCUCAUCGCAUCCUGGGGCGGUAGUACGUCCCAAGGGUUGGGCUGUUCGCCCAUGAAAGCGGUACGCGAGCUGGGUUCAGAACGUCGUGAGACAGUUCGGUCCAUAUCCGGUGUAGGCGUUAGAAUAUUGAGAGGAGCCUUCUUUAGUACGAGAGGACCGAGAAGGACAUACCUCUGGUGUACCAGUUAUCGUGCCAACGGUAAACGCUGGGUAGCUAUGUAUGGAGUGGAUAACCGCUGAAAGCAUCUAAGUGGGAAGCCCACCUCAAGAUAAGUAUUCUCAUC